UAACUUUGCUCUGUGGCAGAUAGUCAAAACUAUCUGGCACAAUUCGAGCUUGCAAUAGUAAGAGAAUCUAAUACAUUGCGGUGUUCUCUUCUCCACAAGACAAGCAGCUAUAUAGACUUAAACAAU